UAUAGAUAGCGCUGUUUUUGAACAUUAGGGGCAAAAUCGUUUUAAAUAAUGUCCGCAAAAAAAGUUGUGAAACCAAGGUCUUAUUAUACGCAGCCAAGGACGAGAAAUCAUAAGCAAUAUUAUUAAUUUCAUGAAAAAAGAGGCAGAUGAAGGAGUUACUUACAGUUUAAGGUUUACCGUUGCUACUAUUCAAUUUAAAAGAGCAAACGUGCAAUGCUAAAUUAUGAUGGAAUUACAGGUGUUUUGCAGAAAAUGAAUAACCGGCAAAUCUUGACAGAAGCAAUAAGUGUAAGCAGCUUGAAUCGGCUCUUUAAAAAAAUUGGUUUCAGAUGGCAGAAAAUGCCAGACCGAAGAAAAAUUUUGUAUGAAUCACACGACAUUCGCCUGAAACGAAUAAAUUACCUAAAGAAGCUGAUAGAAUACCGUAACGAAGGCCGCAAUAUAUGUUAUACUGAUGAAACUUACAUACACAGCAGCCAAUAAAUUUCGCUUCCCCUAAAGUACAAACUAGACGAACUGUUACAACAACAUGGGCACCGUGUACUACGUUUACCUCCUUAUCAUCCAGAACUAAACCCGAUCGAAAAAAUCUGGGCAUUAGUAAAAAAUUGGGUAGCUGCGCACAAUACAACAUUUAAACAACAUUUUGCCUAGCACCCGCUAGGCAAAAAUUUGAGGAGGUAUCGGAACAAGAGUGGUACAAUAUUUGCCAACAUGUUAAAAAUAUGAGAAUAACCUUAUACAAAAAGAGCACAUCUUAGAUCACUUAAUAUUUACAGUAAAGUAAAUACGGGUUCAUCGGAAGAAAGUGAAGACAAAAACAGCGAGGAUACUGAUAGUUCAUUAGAGGAUGAACUAGAAUGUUCGUCUCUAGUUUCUGAUAGCGAAUUUUUUUUAAUUAACGACAUAGAUAAAAUAUUACACUCAACGUGUGCAAAAACUGUGUUUAUUAUAAACAUACCAUGCACACCAAACCUCUAUGCAAUAAACAGUUGCUAUUUCUAUAAGAUACUGUAUCUAUAUCCUACUGUAAUAUAUGUUUAUAUCCUUGAAAUAUAUUUUUUUUGUACUUUUUAAUCUAAUAAAUGUUUUGUUGCGAAA